rnacentral:rRNA from 1 species
UUGCAGUUAAAAAGCUCGUAGUUGAACUUCAGACCUGGCUGGAUGGUCUGCCUAACGGUAUGUACUGUCCGGCUGGGCCUUACCUCUUGGUGAGCCGGCAUGCCCUUCACUGGGUGUGUUGGGGAACCAGGACUUUUACCUUGAGAAAAUUAGAGUGUUCAAAGCAGGCCUAUGCCCGAAUACAUUAGCAUGGAAUAAUAAAAUAGGACGUGCGGUUCUAUUUUGUUGGUUUCUAGAGUCGCCGUAAUGAUUAAUAGGGAUAGUUGGUGGUAUUCGUAUUCAAUUG